UUUCUUCAAUCUCCUCACGACCCGACCUGGUCGUUCGUCCCCAACCUCUCGUCCAACGCAGGGAACGAACCAGCGCACCACUCACCCCACCUGACUCCUCCCCUCCUUCCCCACGCCUUAAUUCCGCUCUGAACGGAUUCCUCACACCCUCCCUAACUCUUAACCUUCCGUUACCCGCACUAGAACGAGCCCUAAUGGCCAUUAGAGCACCAGAAACAGCAGCUAUAAGUCCGACGACGCCCUGCGUCGUUUCGACCUUCCCUCCAUCCUAUAAAAGGUCCCCUCCCCUCACAACUCUCUCCUUGCCCGAACCCCUCUCCUUCGGGAGCUUAUACCCCUACCCAUCGUCAUAAAUUGCUCACCAGAGUUGCCUGACACUGCUGCUGUUCGUGGAAGGUUCCGGCGAGUUCGAGCCGGAGCACGAGUUCUUCGUUGUCUGAUUUCGGCCGGAGUUGCGCCCAACUCCGGCGACAUCUAGCAGCCACCUAAAGGCGAACCAGGAGCCGACGUCGUGUCCUGGAGACUCACCCCGACUUCCUCUCCCUCGUCCACUUCUCGACCAUUGCCGGAGACCGCCGCGUCGCUUCAUGUCUGAGCCACCGUCACCGGCCAUCUCCAUCUCCGAUUGCGACGAGUGCGAAGCCGAAUUCUACGAGGAGGUAGGACCGUGUUGCUGCGAGUCAGAAGGCAAGUUGCAACCUUGACCAUAUUUAUCCCAUGUUUUUAUCUUGCAUUUUUUUAAAUCAAUUAGCAUGCAUGUGUUGGUUUUAUGUUUCUAUUAUGCAAAUAUUUUACUAGAAGUAAAGCCCUAAAAACCAUUGCUAUUGGACUAUACGCUUAGCCAUGCUUGUAGUUGGGGUGGACCAAAUAUUUUGAAAAUACAAACUUGUUCCCUUGGAACAAUGAUUUAGAAAAAAAAUUGGAAAGCAAAACUAUAUUAGUUUCAACUUCUACUCCCUGGGCGGAAUGGUAUGACGGGAGCGUCUACAAGUGAUUGCGCCCAGCGGGGUCUCGCAGUGAAUGCGCCCGACUGGGGUCUUGCACACAGGUUUUUGGUGGGGACUGCCGUCCAGGGGAAUGAGAUCUUACAAGAACAGUUUGAUGUAGCUUCCAGUACAGCCACAUGCUACUAUGGGAUCUGGCUUAACUUAGUACUAACGGGAAACCCUUACCUCAGGACCUCCAUCGGAGAGGGGCUUUCAUUGCCUAAGUUGCGGGCGGCUUCGUCAGGUAUAGGGGGCUGUUACGGAAAGGCUUCGUCACAAUCUCCUCCUAGUCGUACACCCAAGUGUGUAACGGUAAGCGGGGUUGGUUGUGUCAUGUGGGGAACGUGUACGACCUCUGCAGAGGGUUUAACCUAAUCGAUUAGCCGUGCCCCCGGUUACGGGCAAUUUUGAGCAACUGAAGACUUGGACUGAAGAAGAAUCUCCCCUCUCUUUUCUCAAAUCUAUUUAAAAAAAGGGUUAGGUGGAAGUUAAACAUAGCGGGGUGUUUUACUUCAACCUGUAAAAAAAAUAUUUUUAGUGAACCUUGGUCCGGAUAUCCAAGUAUUCACUAAAACUCUAUGUUUUAAACAAAAAAUGUUUAUCAAAACUUAAUAUCUUUUCUUUUCUUUAUAGUCUAGGGAAAUAUUGGCUUUCUGCAAAUAAACCCUAGACACCCUGUCCAGCAUGACUAUUUGUUAUCAUCUUCGUUGCAACUUGCGAGUACAUUCAAAGUACUUACCUGUACGUGUCAUGUGCAGAUGAUGAGUGACGAGAUAGGGCUACGGAGCUACACUCAACUAGCCUUGUGGCGAUUGAUGCACUCAGGAUUAUUAUUAUGUUAUUUGCUUCCGCUAUGUAACUCAGCCUUCAGUUGAGAGAGUUGUAAUAAAUUGAACUUUGGAUCUUCGAUGUAAUAAAAUGACGUCUGUGCUCGAUAUUCAUAUUUGUACUGGGUGUGCUAGCUUUUGAUCCAGGGAUAGCACAGAAAGCUCAAAAGAUUUGGACCCCAUGGGUUCGGAUCGUUACAAAAUUGUAUCAGAGCCUUACGUUGACUGUAGGA